rnacentral:rRNA from 1 species
UACGGGGGGAGCAAGCGUUGUUCGGAUUUACUGGGCGUAAAGGGCGCGUAGGCGGCACUGCAAGUCAGUUGUGAAAUCUCCGGGCUUAACCCGGAAAGGUCAACUGAUACUGCAGGGCUAGAGUGCAGAAGGGGCAACUGGAAUUCUCGGUGUAGCGGUGAAAUGCGUAGAUAUCGAGAGGAACACCUGCGGCGAAGGCGGUUCUCUGGGACGGUACUGACGCUGAGACGCGAAAGCGUGGGGAGCGAACAGG